CCUACGGGAGGCUGUAGUAACGAAUCUUCCGCAAUGCACGAAAGUGUGACGGAGCGACGCCGCGUGUGGGACGAAGUCCUUCGGGAUGUAAACCACUGUCAGGGGUAAGAAAGUUCUGAUCUACCCCAGAGGAAGGCACGGCUAACUCUGUGCCAGCAGCCGCGGUAAGACAGAGGUGCCGAGCGUUAGGCGGAAUCACUGGGCUUAAAGCGUGUGUAGGCGGCGGGCUAAGUACCUUGUGAAAUCCCACGGCUCAACCGUGGAACUGCUGGGUAUACUGGUUCGCUUGAGCCGUCCAGGGGCAACCGGAACAAAUGGUGGAGCGGUGAAAUGCGUAGAUAUCAUUUGGAACGCCAACGGCGAAAGCAGGUUGCUGGGGACGCGCUGACGCUGAGACACGAAAGCCAGGGGAGCGAACGGGAUUAGAUACCCUAGUAGUC
rnacentral:rRNA from 1 species